GACAGUAUGGCAUAGUGGUUUGAGCACUGGACUAUGACUCUGGAGACCAGGGUUCAAAUCUCGGCUCAGCCA
rnacentral:tRNA from 1 species